rnacentral:pre_miRNA from 1 species
CAACUACUCCCUCUGUCCCAAAUUUUUUGUCUUAGAUUUGUCUAGAUACGGAUGUAUCUAGACUUGAUACAUCUGUAUCUAGACAAAUCUAAGACAAGAAUUUUGGGACGGAGGGAGUACUUU